rnacentral:rRNA from 1 species
ACGGCUCAGUAACACGUAGUCAACCUAACCUAUGGACGGGAAUAACCUCGGGAAACUGAGAAUAAUGCCCGAUAGAACAUUAUGCCUGGAAUGGUUUAUGUUCCAAAUGAUUUAUCGCCAUAGGAUGGGACUGCGGCCUAUCAGUUUGUUGGUGAGGUAAUGGCCCACCAAGACUAUUACAGGUACGGGCUCUGAGAGGAGUAGCCCGGAGAUGGGUACUGAGACACGGACCCAGGCCCUAUGGGGCGCAGCAGGCGAGAAAACUUUGCAAUGUGCGAAAGCACGACAAGGUUAAUCCGAGUGAUUUGUGCUAAACGAAUCUUUUGUUAGUCCUAGAAACACUAACGAAUAAGGGGUGGGCAAGUUCUGGUGUCAGCCGCCGCGGUAAAACCAGCACCUCAAGUGGUCAGGAUGAUUAUUGGGCCUAAAGCAUCCGUAGCCGGCUCUGUAAGUUUUCGGUUAAAUCUGUACGCUUAACGUACAGGCUGCCGGGAAUACUGCAAAGCUAGGGAGUGGGAGAGGUAGACGGUACUCGGUAGGAAGUGGUAAAAUGCUUUGAUCUAUCGAUGACCACCUGUGGCGAAGGCGGUCUACCAGAACACGUCCGACGGUGAGGGAUGAAAGCUGGGGGAGCAAACCGGAUUAGAUACCCGGGUAGUCCCAGCUGUAAACUAUGCAAACUCAGUGAUGCAUUGGCUUGUGGCCAAUGCAGUGCUGCAGGGAAGCCGUUAAGUUUGCCGCCUGGGAAGUACGUACGCAAGUAUGAAACUUAAAGGAAUUGGCGGGGGAGCAC